rnacentral:rRNA from 1 species
AGUGAACGCUGGCGGUAGGCCUAACACAUGCAAGUCGAACGGCAGCACAGUAAGAGCUUGCUCUUACGGGUGGCGAGUGGCGGACGGGUGAGGAAUACAUCGGAAUCUACUUUUUCGUGGGGGAUAACGUAGGGAAACUUACGCUAAUACCGCAUACGACCUACGGGUGAAAGCAGGGGAUCUUCGGACCUUGCGCGAUUGAAUGAGCCGAUGUCGGAUUAGCUAGUUGGCGGGGUAAAGGCCCAGCAAGGCGACGAUCCGUAGCUGGUCUGAGAGGAUGAUCAGCCACACUGGAACUGAGACACGGUCCAGACUCCUACGGGAGGCAGCAGUGGGGAAUAUUGGACAAUGGGCGCAAGCCUGAUCCAGCCAUACCGCGUGGGUGAAGAAGGCCUUCGGGUUGUAAAGCCCUUUUGUUGGGAAAGAAAAGCAGCAGGUUAAUACCCCGCUGUUCUGACGGUACCCAAAGAAUAAGCACCGGCUAACUUCGU